AGGUCCUCAAGAAGUAUUUGUUGAAAAAAUAAACAGAGCAACAAAUCUUAUUUGAGCACCUGUUAUG
rnacentral:pre_miRNA from 1 species